rnacentral:rRNA from 1 species
UAUAGAGGUGGCAAGCGUUGUUCGGAAUUACUGGGCGUAAAGGGCGCGUAGGUGGCCUUGUUAGUCAGACGUGAAAUCCCCAAGCUUAACUUGGGAACUGCGUCUGAUACUGCAAGGCUUGAGUUCGGGAGAGGGAUGUGGAAUUCCAGGUGUAGCGGUGAAAUGCGUAGAUAUCUGGAGGAACACCGGUGGCGAAGGCGGCAUCCUGGACCGAAACUGACACUGAGGCGCGAAAGCUAGGGGAGCAAACGGG